rnacentral:rRNA from 1 species
ACUCAAAUGAAUUGACGGGGGCCCGCACAAGCGGUGGAGCAUGUGGUUCAAUUCGAAGCAACGCGCAGAACCUUACCAACCCUUGACAUGUCUAGUAUGGUCUUAAGAGAUUAGGAUCUUCAGUUCGGCUGGCUAGAACACAGGUGCUGCAUGGCUGUCGUCAGCUCGUGUCGUGAGAUGUUGGGUUAAGUCCCGCAACGAGCGCAACCCUCGUCCUUAGUUGCCAUCAUUUAGUUGGGCACUCUAGGGAGACUGCCGGUGAUAAGCUGGAGGAAGGUGGGGAUGACGUCAAGUCCUCAUGGCCCUUACGGGUUGGGCUACACACGUGCUACAAUGGCGGUGACAAUGAGCAGCGAAAGCGCAAGCUGAAGCUAAUCUUCAAAAGCCGUCUCAGUUCGGAUUGUGCUCUGCAACUCGAGCACAUGAAGCUGGAAUCGCUAGUAAUCGUAGAUCAGAACGCUACGGUGAAUACGUUCCCGGGCCUUGUACACACCGCCCGU